rnacentral:lncRNA from 1 species
AUGAAAUUCGCUUUCCUACAUAUCAAUGCAUUUCCUAAACACACAACAAAAUAUGUUUUCUCAUUAUAACUGGAGGGAAAAGAAUCACCCUUAAUUAUAAGAAAGAUUUUUAAUCUUUUUUUACUUUUAUUUCAAUUUCCAAAAAACUUCCACAACCAAGACAAUAAAUUUUGCUGGCUAUUCCAAAUUCAAAUUUUAGUGACUGUUUCAAAAUUUGUAUUUAAUUAUUUAAAAAAAUAUAUAUUAUAGUAGAUUUAUAUUACAACAUUUAUUGCAUUUAUUAAACUUUUUAAUUAUUAAAUCACAAUAUUUAAGACAAACUUUCCAUCAAGCCACACUCACACGGAUUAUUAUUAUUUUAAUCACUUUCAUUUACCUUAAUUAAUUAAUUACUUAACCCAUUCUCUCUCUCUCUUCCUUGGAAUAGACGCACGUCUCUUCUUCCUUCUUUUUCCUUCAACACACCUUCUUCCUUCGUCAAACUUACGGCCAAAAUUAGGUGAAAGGAACCAAAGAGAGUUUUACAAGGUUUUAGAUUUUAGAAUUUUUGUACAAGUUUUUGAGAAAGAGGUAGAAGAAAAGAAUGAAUCUUCAGGGAAUGUGAAGUUUUUUUGACAGAGAAAGAUCUUUUCUCAUUGUUUUUUUACAGGAAGCAGAGAGCGGUUUGGAGCAGUAAGCGUAGAAUUCAAAGAAGAAGAGCACAAGGAAGGAAGCUCUGGCUCGAAUCCAGGUUAGAUAAGUGUCAUUUUUAAGCUUAUUCUGUUUGGGUUCUUGUUAUUUUGCGUAUUGUACAAAGCUUAUUCAUAAGUAUCAAUCCCACUCACAGUUUGCAACCGUAGUUAGUCUCGUGAAAAUGCUUCUUAUGGGGGACGUUGUUUGAGGAAAGUGAGACUCUUAAUGCUGAUAUAGCUUAUAGGCUCUCCGCUGAUUCCAUACUUUAAUAAUAUAAUAUUAUGCAAGAUUAUGUCUUGCUGGAAUCAUGGUUUUUCUUUAAUGGGGAAAUGGGUUUUGGACGUAUACUACAAAAUUGAAGGAUGACAGCAUGCUGUCUAUUAAGCAUUACUUAUUUCAAUUUAAGAGAUAACAUAAGAUAUGUUUAAACAUAAUGAUAAUUUAAUGGUUUAAAUCAUAAAAUUUAGGCUCUUUACAGCUUUUCUUAUUAGUUUGUAGCUUGUCCUAGUUUGUUCAUAAAAUAUUUUUGACUUUAUACAAAUAUGGAUACAAUAAGAAUUUAACACAUGCGAACUAUUUAAAGAAUAAAGAAGUCAAAAAAGACCAUUAAUGUCGUCCAAGUGUGUGGUCAUAAUUUAGAAUGAAUGUAUAGGAUUAUUUUGGUCAUCUUUUAGAUAAUUAUAUUAUGUUCACAUUUUUUUAGAUUAUUUAAUACCAUAUUUACUUAGGUCAUUUAAUAGUAUAUUCCGCUGAGUCAUUUAAUACAAUAUUUUCCUAUAUCAUUUAAUACUAUAUUUGUUUUCCUAGAUCAUUUAGUACCAUGUUCCACUAUGUCAUUUAAUAUUAUGUUUUCCUAUAUCAUUUAAAUUAUAUUCAUAUUUCUGUAGGUCAUUUAAUUAUGAUCAUUUUGCAGAAUCUAGGUGUUUCAACUUAUAAAUAUCUCAUUUACAAUAUAAUAUGAUACACUUCGAUUAUUAAAAAAAUUCCAUUGUCCUCGUUAGAACUUUGACAAGUGAGAAUUCUUAUUCUUUUUGUUGCAUCAAGAAUCGAAUUAACUUAUCAAGUUAUCUUGUUGUAUUUAUUCAUUCUUGUUUUUUUUUUUAUCUCAAUCACCCAAGUUCUCAAUUACAAGUUAGUUGUGGAUUUGGUAUAGAGGAUUUAUUUAAAGUUCUAAGUUAUCUAUGCUAAAUAUAUAUGUGGGAUUCUGGAUGUAAUCUUUGAUCCUCGAGUUCCGCAUUAGAGUGGAAACCUUUUAAGAUAUGAAAUUAUUGAUACAUUAGUAAAUCAAAAUGAAAUUCUCUGGAGAUGCAAAUGGAUAGAAACUAAAGUUUGGUAAGAAGUACAAAAAUAUAUUAUUAUUUCAUAUGAGUGAGCAAGAUUGACAAAAGAAUCAUUUAUAUGCCAAAAGAUUACUUAUCUGUAGAUCAACAAAAUGCUUACCUAGAUAUUAAAUCAAAUUUAAAAAGCCUAAUUGAAUGUUGAUAUAGCCUAAUUCACAUUUAUCAUGAGUUUAUUACUUGCCUCAUUCUUAAUUUUAUUAUUAUUUUCUCAUGUAAAGAUUCGCUAAAAUUGUUAUUACUUUGAUUGUUUUUUAUAGCUCUCAAAGUUUGAGAUAUUCUUUAAUGUAAUAUUGUAUUGCCUUUAAUAUUAUAUAAUACUUAUAUUUCAAGUUUCUCAUAUUAAUCAAUGGAUAAAAGUUGGAUAUAUCUCCUCUCAAGAAUAAGUAAGGAAGAUAUAUUAGGAAUUGCCAGUUUUCUUAAUUUUACUUUUGACAAAAGCAUCUAAAGUAACAAAAUUAGAUACUAAAAUAUAGUUUAUAUCAACUGACUUUGCACACAAAGGAAUAAGCUUCAAUUAUGUAAUAUGCAAAGUCCUUUCUAGAAGUUACACUCAAUGGAGAUUUCACAUGGAGAUUUUAAAUGAAUCUACCUCAGGUGAUGGAACCAUUGAGUUCCACAAGAGUUUGACCCAUGAUAUCCAUGGGUUAUUACAUGAUAGUUUUUCGAUGCACAUAGUAGAAGAUGAUGAAAAAUUUAAUAGCAAUGAUGUUAAUACAUAAUUUAAAGAUGAACUUCAAGACAACAUGCAAGAGAUGAGAAUGGUAAACAAUAUAGAGAUGGAAUUACUUACACCUUGUAUCAUCUCAUGAAAGAUUUCUAACAAAAAUUAUGUCCAAAUUGUAAAAAAUGUACUAAGUUAUCUUUUAUUGUGCAUUUAUAUUAUUUAAAAAUAUAUCAACGGAUGGAGUAAUAAAUUAUUUUUUUUUUAUGUUAUUAGAGUUAGAAGAAGACACAUUACUUGAGAAAAACUUGUUAGUAGAAGCAUACUAUGAAGUGAAGAAGCUCAUGAGAGGGCUAGAUUUAUCGCAGGAAAAUAUCCAUGUAUGUUCCAAUGAUAGUAUAUUAUUUUAGAAAGAAAGUAAAAAAAUUAUGGUAAUUGUUUUGCGUGUCAUGCAUUUAGGUUAAGAAAAUGUGGAAAUGAGAAUGAUGAACACUAUUUCUCUAACUUUUAACAAAGAGAAACAAAAACCUAUAAAGGUCUUGGAUUGAUUUCCUUUAAACUCGAGGAUUCAAAAAUUAUUUUUUUCGUUAAGGACAACUUAUUUUAUGAAAUGACACAAAGAAAGUUGUAUAAAGGAUGGAUUUUUAAGGUACCUUGCAUAUUCUAAGGCUCGAAAAAAAAUUUCAUAUUAAAUAUUAUGGUUUCUUUCUUUACCCUCGUAGUAUUUGCUUAGGGUUAGCUACUGAUGGAUUUAAUCGAUUCAAGACUAUGAAUGUCAUUCAUAACAAAUGAUUUGUGAUACUAAUAUCAAAUAAUUUACCUCCAUGGCUAUGUAUGAAUACUUAAUUUUAUAUUAUCAUUACUUAUUCUUAACUUAAAAAGGUUCAGGUAAUAAGUUAAAUGUAUAUAUACAACCUUUAAUUGAUGAAUUAGAUAUGAUAUUGUAGGAGAAAUAGAUUUAAAAAUACUUGAAUGAGGAUAAUAAUGCUUGAAAAAGGGUGACAAAGGCUAGGUAGGGGUUAUUGGGGAGGGGGGGUGAUGACUAGGGAGUUAGGGAGAUCAUUUAGGUUAGGGUUAUUGAAGAGUAUUUAGGCGAGAAGUUAGUUUCUUCAUUAGUGUAUCACUUGGAAGGUGGGUGAAGGGAAUAAGAUUCUCCUUUGGCAUGAUACUUGGUUGGGAGACAGUAGCUUGAAAGAUCAAUUCCAACAUGUUUCUGCCAUUGCCCAAGCAAAGAACAUGAUGAUUAUGGAUGCUUAUGAGGGUGAUGACACUAGAAGGGAGUAGAUGGUUAAUGAGAGUAAAAAUCUCAAUAAUUAGGAGCUAGAGGAAUAUGAAGCCUUUUUAAAACUCCUAACUACUGUUCAAUUGAACCAGGAAGGGGGUAAGCUUGUUUGGAAACUUAAUAAAAAUGGCUCCUUCACGGCGAAAUCUUUGUACAAUCACUUAAUGAAUAUAGGUGUGAUGGAGGGGCUACUUUUUUCUACCAAUCAGGUGUGUAAAACACCACUCUAGAAUAAUAAUAAUAAUUAUUAUUUGCUUAGUAAGUAGGCAUAGAAUCUAUUAUGGGUAUCGAUAAGUUGAUGAGCUUGAGUAAAAGAGGAAAAGUAGGUGUGGUGGAGGGGCUAGUCUUGAUGGUAUUAGAAAAGACAACUAUGAAGGAGGGAAGGUAUCUUGAGUGAAGAGGAAAGUGUGCAUUCGUGGAUGAUAGACACGUGUUCAACAAACAAGCAAACAACUUUACCUUUAUGAUGAGGCCAAUAUUGGUCUUGGUGGGUUUAGAGAAGAUAAUUGUGAAGGAGGGAAGUUAGCUUGAGUGAAGGAAGGAAGUGCUCAUUCAUGAUGACAAGCACGUGCGUUCAACAAGCCAAGUUUGACUUUUGGUAUUAAGGUUACUUGGAGAAAAGGAAAUAGGUUCAGUUAUGAAAAAGAUGAUGUUUGUGCAAAUAAUAGUUAUUAGUAAAGAGAAGAAUAUUAAAACAAAUUCGUUGACCUGGAUGAUGAUAUGUUUCUGAUGUUGCAUUCAUAUCAAUAAAUUUAAAUAAGAUGAUACAUUACUUGACACAUAAUUGACACAUCAGCGGUUCUCCCAAGUGGCAUUAGCUCGAUUUAAUAGAGAGAGAGAACUUUAAUUGGUUUUUACAAAAGUACAAGGAAAACUUAGAAUAAAAAAUAGUUUAUAAAAAAUUUUAAAUAUUUUUGAAUUGUACAUGAAUAAUUUUGUUUAUUCAAUGGGUCCAUUUAUUAAAUUAGUUAUAUAUUUUUUAGAUGUAUAUAUAAGAAACAAUCUACAUAUAUUUAAAUUAAUAAAAAAAAUUACAUGUAUAUAAUUAAUUAAUUAAUAAUUAAUAAUGUGAGCAUACAAAAGAUGUACCUACUUUCAAUUUGACCCCCUACCUCUCUCCUUCUCACUCUCUAAUAAUGAUGCACGUGGAAGGAUUCAGAUAAAAAUCACUAAUUAGAAUAUUGUUAUUCGAUGAAUUAAUAAUAAUAAAAUAAUUUAUUAAAGUGUAUACGUCUAAUCUCAAAAAUCCAAUAAAUUAUUAGAAUAAAAAUAAUAAUAAUAAUGAUCAGGUCAUCUUUUAAUCUUCAAUUAAUUCUUUAAUACUAAUCAUUAAUAAUUUAAUGCUAAGUUAAUCCCAAAAGACUGCAUUAUUCUUAUGCUUUCAUAUAUUUUAUAGUUACUUGAUGCUUUGAAUUAAUACAAAAAAUACGAAGUGACGAUUCCUUUUUUCUCCAUAUUGAUGUAUACGUCAACUUACCAGAGUAAUUCAUAUUCCAUACAUACAUACAUAUAUAUAUAUAUAUUUAUAUAUAUUAGAGAGAGAGAGAGCCACACACACACACACACACUAUCGUAUUUGCCAUACUACACUAGAAUUAUUGGAGAGCUUUUCAAUUUUAAUGGUCUUUCAUCUUUUUGAUUUAUACACCGUAUCAACAUAAAAAUAUAUUUUGUACCAUAAAUUUAUACUUUAACUUAUAUUUAAAUCACUCACUAUGAUUUUAAAAAAUUUAUUUAAAAAUUUUAAUAUUAAAAAGUUAAUAUUUACUUCAAAUAAUUUUAUGGAAGGAAAUCAAAUUUAAAAAUCAAAUUUCAUGAAAUUUACCAACAAUCUCACUAAACCUUCCGUCCAUGACCAAGCUUUAAAACUCAUAAAAAUUUCAAAUAAAUUUUAUAAACAUAAUUAAUUUAUGCCAAAUGCACAGUUGGUUAAAAAAAUUCUUUUAUUGGACAUCCUCACAACGUACAUGCCUCUUGUGUAACACUCAAAACUUUUUAUUUUAUUUUAUUUUAAUUUUUAUUGAAUUUUUAUUUAAUUUUAAUAAUUAAUUUAUAAAGUUUUAAUUUCAUUUAAUAGAAAUAAAAAUAAUAAUAAUAAUAAAAUGUAGUAAAAUUAUUUUUAAGAUUUAAUUAAAAUUAAUUUUGAAAAAAAAUAGUGAAAAUUUAUAUUCUGUGGGUGUUUUUGAAAAGAAAAUAAAAAAUCAGAAAUCAAAACGCAAUUUAGCAAAAUAGCGUACGGACAGCCUAAAUUCGAUCACGCACGGAUGGCUCAGAUCGCAUCGCGAUGGAGUGUCUAGAUUUAUUUUCAAUUUAAUCGCGAUUGGACGACCCAAAUUAAAUCGUGAUGGACGGCUCAUAUUAAAAAGGAGAAGUUAUAAAUAAUCGUAUCCACACCCAACCCCAAACCCUAUCCGCUAGAACCCUCGCCGGAGAAGACGACCCAGCCACCGGAGGAACUGGCUGCCACCACCCGCAGCCGCACCGGAGGAUUUUUCGGCUGCCAAACAAGGUAAAAUUUCUCCCUUUGGCUCGUUUUUCGAUGCUGAACCUCCCUGUGGCCAAAUUGGAGCCAAAACACCGGCCAAUUGGCCGAAAAACACCGUCGAAGUCCAGCGGCGCCGCUGUGGGUUUCCUCAGUUUUUGCCUCCGAUGAGGUCCUUUCCGGUUUCCGUUCGAUGUAAUUUUUAUACCACUGUGACCACCGUCCUUUUCUCUACAGGUUGACCGGAGUAAAAUACCAAAUCGCGACUCGCGCAGGAGGAGCCACUGCACUCGAGAGCUCUACCGCUAGUAAGUCUCAGUUUUCUGUAAUUUUUUGGGCCCACAGAGGGCCCUAAGGGUGUUUUAUCUCAAGAACCAAUGCAAAUUUGACCGAAUUCGGCAAAAAACAGCCGGAAAUGGCCAACCCGAGGCGGAUUGCCGCCAUGGGUGGCGGUGCUAUUGCCAGAGCACGACGGAGCCGCCGUGCCGGAAUUCUGAAAUGGCCGAAAAGGCCCUGGGUUUGAUUUGGAGUUUUUUGGGGACAUGUACAGGUACCGAAAGUGUGUUUCAGUUUUCGAAAAAAAAAUACAGGGAAUCUAGGGACUGCCCGUAUGCACAGUGAGAACCCGAUUUCAGACUCCGAAACAAGUAAUGAUCCCUCAUCCUAUUUCCUAUCACGACAUUAAAGCUUAAUAAAUGAUAAAACGGUAUUUUAUGAAUUAAUAGAUAUGUAUAAUUAAUUAAGACUGCUAAUGGAGCCCAAAUAUGAUGUAUUUUUUGGUCAGGUGUUGUUUGAUUUAUUUUACAGUUUUGAAUGCAGUAUGGUGCAUGAUGUGUUUAUUCUAUAGUUUCGUAUGCAUGAAUCACGGUUUCAUUUAUUAUGGUUUGAAUUAUUGUGAAGCCGAUGUUGUGUUGUCUUAUUUGGUGUCCAUUACUGGUUUACGUAUUUAUGUUUGAUUGGAUAAUUAAGAUUAAGAAAAUUAGAAAAAUAUAUGUGAACUGAUAAAUGGAUAAUGUCGAAAGCCUAACUAGAUAUCCUGGGAGAUGGUGGACGGACCGAGUCCAUAGGGAACCCUACCAGGAACGUGGUCUCUUAUAUUGGACGGGAUAUGGAGACUUUAUGUGUUUUGGCGCUCAUACCGGACGGGGUAUGGGGACGACCCAUUUCACCUUGAUACCGGAUGGGGUAUUGAGGUUUAUGGUUUUGGUAUCCAUACCGGACGGGGUAUGGGGACGGCCCUGGAAUUAAGUUAUUAAUGUGAAUGGUUCACGUGUAGCGGGGACCCCCUAUGGAUCCCCAUGGAUACUAGUAGGCUGAUAAAAGAGAAAAUUUGUUGUUUGAUGAUUGAAAUACAAAAGCAUGAUAUGUGUUAUAUUAUAGAGUGUGCAUGAUCUUAUGAUGUUUAUGAUGUUAUUGUUUCUCAUAAGUUAUUUUCAUAAAUCUCACCGAGAUAAGUGGACAGUAAAGGUUUUUAUUAUUGAUAAAUGAGUUUGUUAUAAAUUAUGUUCCAUUGGUCGUUUUUGUUUUCUACCAACAUUUACUUUUUGUGACAGUGAGAUAGUGUGAUGUCUCUACUGGUCUAGUGUAACUCAUUCCUUACUUAACCAUUUCAGAUCAGGAAGACUUGGUUCCCGAGCCCGUCCCGCAGGAAGACAGCGAGUAGAUGUCUAAAGAUUUCAUAAUUUUAUUUAUAACAUUCAUCUCUAGUAUUUACUUUAUUUAGUUUAUUCUUUCAUACGUUUAGUACGUUUGGAUUACUG